rnacentral:misc_RNA from 1 species
UUGACUUAUUUAAUAAUGCUCAGAUACCACAAAAAUGCAGAGUUAAAAACCUCCGGCAGGCACCAAAAAGCCCGCCCUGGGCCCUCCUGCCGAAGCAACUUAAGUAAAUACACAAAGGGUUGGAGUUUUUACGCUCUAUAAUGAUCCCUCCGCUGGUUCACCAACGGAGA